UACAGAGGGGGCAAGCGUUGUUCGGAAUUACUGGGCGUAAAGGGCGCGUAGGCGGCCCGCUAAGUCGAACGUGAAAUCCCUGGGCUCAACCCCAGGAACUGCGUCCGAUACUGGCAGGCUUGAAUCCGGGAGAGGGAUGUGGAAUUCCAGGUGUAGCGGUGAAAUGCGUAGAUAUCUGGAGGAACACCGGUGGCGAAGGCGGCAUCCUGGACCGGUAUUGACGCUGAGGCGCGAAAGCCAGGGGAGCAAACGGG
rnacentral:rRNA from 1 species